CGCGACCCCAGUCAGGC
rnacentral:rRNA from 2 species